UUACGGCCAUAUCACAAUGAAACACCGGUUCCCGUACGAUCACCGAAGUUAAGCAAGGUCAAGCCUGGUUAGUACCUAGAUGGGUGAAUA